rnacentral:lncRNA from 1 species
AUUUCUCUUCUCCGCAAAGUCGCUCUCGGCAGCGUUGCUGGAGCUAAAUCUUCUCUCGUGCCGAUCCCCCCGAAUGAUCCACGGUUCAGGCUCUUGGAUCGCGCGAUAUUCCCUUUCGCUGGCAAAUGCGAGCAGCAAGAACAGGGCAUUCGAUCGAUGCGGCGUCAAUCUUGUUCGAUUAUCGUCUCCUGGAACGCGAUGGUCACCGCGUAUGUGGCGGCAUCCCGCAUCCGAGAGUGAGAGUCUAUGUUUGAUUGCGUCUCAGAGCGCCAUGGAACUCGAUGAUAAUGGCUCUCGCGCAGCAGGGGCAAAUUGUGGCAGCGAAAUCGAGCUUGGGCAAAAACGCCGGCCAAGGAUCUGGUGUCCUGGACGAAUCUACUGCCCAGAAUGACAGGACGUUCCAUGGGUUCCCCUUCCAGCAGUGACUAGCAGACCACCUCCAAAGAAAUGUUUGAUUUCAUGCCGGAUGAAGACGGUAUUGAUUCGGCCAGUAGCUGCUCUCCAGGAUCCGCGCGUGGAUCCUCUGGCCUCGCAGCCCCUGGAUGUCGUCCACGUGGACAAUCAGAUGGAUUCCAAAUCUUGUUUUUCAAAUAAGAGGUGCUGAAAUAAUAUUUUGUUAUCUCCCAGUGUU